ensembl:lncRNA
CAAGGGAGAUGUCAGCUGCGGAGACGUGCCCUUCCUCCACAGCACGGGAAAGCAAGUCGGGGAGAAGAGCUGGAGGCAGCUGAACCUAUAUGAGAAAAUGGAACUGAGAGACCCUGCGAAGGAGGAGAUCCCUGAGAAAAAGCGCAACACCAGCCAGAAGCUCAGCCUCGGAUACCUGCACAUGGCCGUCAGACAGAAGACGGGCAUGAAGACGAGAGCAGGGUCAGACCCUAAAGAACAGCAAGGCCACCUUGGCUAUGGAGCAGACAGUGGACCUGAAAUUGCAACAAGAAACAGGUACACACACACACUCACACACACACUCAGGGGAGAAACCCCUUCACCAGGGGCUUCUACCCCACGCACGGGGUCCCCUCCUCAGCCGGAGGGCACCCCAGUUCCACCCGCACGCAAGGGGAACCCUUGAAAACUUCAGGGCUAAGCCCCAUCUCACCUCCACGCACGGGGUCCCCUCCUCAGCCGGAGGGCACCCCAGUUUGACCCACACGCAAGGGGAACCCUUGAAAACUUCAGGGCUAAGCCCCAUCUCACAUGCAUGCACGGGGUCCCCUCCUCAGCCGGAGGGCACCCCAGUUUCACCCACAUGCAAGGGGAACCCUUGAAAACUUCAGGGCUAAGCCCCAUCUCACCUCCACGCACGGGGUCCCCUCCUCAGCCGGAGGGCACCCCAGUUUGACCCGCACGCAAGGGGAACCCUUGAAAACUUCAGGGCUAAGCCCCAUCUCACUGGCACGCACGGGGUCCUCUCCUCAGCCGGAGGGCACCCCAGUUUGACCCGCACGCAAGGGGAACCCUUGAAAACUUCAGGGCUAAGCCCCAUCUCACCUCCACGCACGGGGUCCUCUCCUCAGCCGGAGGGCACCCCAGUUCCACCCGCACGCAAGGGGAACCCU